GGCAUGGUGGCCAAGUCGUAAGGCGUCGGUCUCGUAAACCGAAGACCAUGGGUUCAAAUCCCAUCCAUGCCU